GGCGAGGCUGCGCCCGGCGCCCGAGACCGGCGGCUGCGGGGGGCGGGGGCUGCGCCCGAGCCGGAUCCGCCGCUCCGGCUCCGAGCAGUGGUCUUGGGGGAAAGGCCGUGGCCCGGCACAGAUGCGUUUGUCCGCAAGAGCGUUGGAGAUUCGGGUGAAGGCGUAAAGCCUGGGGCUUCCAAUGGUACUCUGGGCAGCGAUGGAAGCCUAGAUGCCUCACCGCAAGGAGCGGCCGAGCGGGUCCUCACUUCACGCACAGGGCAGCGGCGGCACCGCGGAGGGAGGAAACAUGUCCCGGCUAUCUCUCACCCGGUCGCCCGUGUCCCCCCUGGCUGCCCAGGGGAUCCCACUGCCAGCUCAGCUCACCAAGUCCAACGCGCCUGUGCACAUCGAUGUGGGCGGCCACAUGUACACCAGCAGCCUGGCCACGCUCACGAAGUACCCUGACUCCAGGAUAAGCCGCCUCUUCAAUGGCACCGAACCCAUCGUCCUGGACAGUUUGAAGCAACAUUAUUUCAUCGACCGGGAUGGGGAGAUUUUCCGCUACGUCCUGAGCUUCCUGCGGACGUCAAAACUGCUGCUCCCGGAUGACUUCAAGGACUUCAGCCUGCUGUACGAGGAGGCGCGGUACUACCAGCUGCAGCCCAUGGUGCGCGAGCUGGAGCGCUGGCAGCAGGAGCAGGAGCAGCGGCGCCACAGCCGGGCCUGCGACUGCCUGGUGGUGCGCGUGACGCCUGACCUGGGGGAGCGGAUCGCGCUCAGCGGCGAGAAAGCCCUCAUCGAGGAGGUCUUCCCCGAGACCAGGGACGUCAUGUGCAACUCGGUCAAUGCCGGCUGGAACCAGGACCCCACGCACGUCAUCCGCUUCCCGCUCAACGGCUACUGCCGGCUCAACUCGGUGCAGGUCCUGGAGAGGCUGUUCCAGAGGGGUUUCAGCGUGGCCGCGUCCUGUGGGGGCGGCGUGGACUCCUCCCAGUUCAGCGAGUAUGUGCUUUGCCGGGAGGAGCGGCGACCACAGCCCACUCCCACUGCUGUCCGGAUAAAGCAGGAGCCCUUGGACUAGGCCCUGCCUUGCUACCCGCCUGGGACACCCCGGGGACCUGGAAACAGUGCUGGGGCGUCUUCUUGCGUGUGCCCAGCAGUGGGCAUGAGACCGAGGGCAGGGCUGGAAGGUGCAAAGGCGGCCCAGGGAGCACCAGGGCCCCAGCGUCAUGGCGACAGAACGUGGGAUGCUGGAGGCAUGCCCACCGAAGGACUGUUGAUGUGACCCAAAGAUGCCGUCGUGGGAACUCCGCUGCCAGCUCUCCCAGCCCCUUGCCCCCCAGCCUGGUGCAGCGUCCUCUGAGGCUGCGGGGCCCGUUGAGGUAGGGUCAGCAGAGGCGUCCGCAGCUACCCCAGAGGAGCCUUUGUCC